ACGCUUGAAGUCAGUCGCGUUGGCCGGAAAUCAACCUUGCUUCUGCUGGGUGUACUUUCUGGUUGACGGGCCAGCAUCAGUUUUGACCAGUGGAAAAAGUCCAAGGGAAUGUGGCAUCUUCGGAUGUGUUAUAGCCCUUGGUCGUAUACACCGGUUGGGACUGAGGAAUUCAGCACGCCGAAAGGCCGGGUCUUUGACCACGUUCGUGCUUAGGAUGCUGGCAUAAUGGCUUUAAUCGACCCGUCUUGAAACACGGACCAAGGAGUC
rnacentral:rRNA from 1 species